rnacentral:rRNA from 1 species
GAUGAACGCUGGCGGCGUGCCUAAUACAUGCAAGUCGAGCGAACGGACGAGACGCUUGCUUCUCUGAUGUUAGCGGCGGACGGGUGAGUAACACGUGGAUACCCUACCUAUCAGACUGGGAUAACUUCGGGAAACCGGAGCUAAUACCGGAUAAUAUUUUGAACCACAUGGUUCAAAAGUGAAAGACGGUCUUGCUGUCACUUAUAGAUGGAUCCGCGCUGCAUUAGCUAGUUGGUAAGGUAACGGCUUACCAAGGCAACGAGGCAUAGCCGACCUGAGAGGGUGGUCGGCCACACUGGAACUGAGACACGGUCCAGACUCCUACGGGAGGCAGCAGUAGGGAAUCGUCCGCAGUGGGCGGAAACCUGACGGAGCAAGGCCGCGUGAGUGAUGAAGGUCCUCGGAUCGUAAAACUCUGUUAUUAGGGAAGAACAGAUGUGUAAGUAAAUGUGCACAGCUUGACGGUACCUAAUCAGAAAGCCACGGCUAACUACGUG